ACUCCUGUAGCCCAAUGGUCAGAGGCGAUCGCCUUAGAAGCGAUGCGUUGCAGGUUCAGGUUCAACUCCUGUCAGGAGUA
rnacentral:tRNA from 1 species